UACAGAGGGUGCGAGCGUUAAUCGGAAUUACUGGGCGUAAAGCGCGCGUAGGCGGCUUUUCAAGUCGAUUGUGAAAUCCCCGGGCUUAACCUGGGAACUGCAGUCGAGACUGUCUAGCUAGAGUAUGGGAGAGGGAAGUGGAAUUUCAGGUGUAGCGGUGAAAUGCGUAGAUAUCUGAAGGAACAUCAGUGGCGAAAGCGACUUCCUGGACCAAUACUGACGCUCAUGUGCGAAAGCGUGGGGAGCAAACAGG
rnacentral:rRNA from 3 species